rnacentral:rRNA from 1 species
UACGAAGGGGGCUAGCGUUGCUCGGAAUCACUGGGCGUAAAGCGCACGUAGGCGGAUCGCUAAGUCAGGGGUGAAAUCCUGGAGCUCAACUCCAGAACUGCCUUUGAUACUGACAAUCUCGAGUCCGGGAGAGGUGAGUGGAACUGCGAGUGUAGAGGUGAAAUUCGUAGAUAUUCGCAAGAACACCGAGUGGCGAAGGCGGCUCACUGGCCCGGUCUGACGCUGAGGUGCGAAAGCGUGGGGAGC